rnacentral:rRNA from 1 species
GGGUUGUGAGGUUAAGCGACUAAGCGUACACGGUGGAUGCCCUGGCAGUCAGAGGCGAUGAAGGACGUGCUAAUCUGCGAUAAGCGUCGGUAAGGUGAUAUGAACCGUUAUAACCGGCGAUUUCCGAAUGGGGAAACCCAGUGUGUUUCGACACACUAUCAUUAACUGAAUCCAUAGGUUAAUGAGGCGAACCGGGGGAACUGAAACAUCUAAGUACCCCGAGGAAAAGAAAUCAACCGAGAUUCCCCCAGUAGCGGCGAGCGAACGGGGAGGAGCCCAGAGCCUGAAUCAGUGUGUGUGUUAGUGGAAGCGUCUGGAAAGGCGCGCGAUACAGGGUGACAGCCCCGUACACAAAAAUGCACAUACUGUGAGCUCGAUGAGUAGGGCGGGACACGUGGUAUCCUGUCUGAAUAUGGGGGGACCAUCCUCCAAGGCUAAAUACUCCUGACUGACCGAUAGUGAACCAGUACCGUGAGGGAAAGGCGAAAAGAACCCCGGCGAGGGGAGUGAAAAAGAACCUGAAACCGUGUACGUACAAGCAGUGGGAGCACGCUUAGGCGUGUGACUGCGUACCUUUUGUAUAAUGGGUCAGCGACUUAUAUUCUGUAGCAAGGUUAACCGAAUAGGGGAGCCGAAGGGAAACCGAGUCUUAACUGGGCGUUAAGUUGCAGGGUAUAGACCCGAAACCCGGUGAUCUAGCCAUGGGCAGGUUGAAGGUUGGGUAACACUAACUGGAGGACCGAACCGACUAAUGUUGAAAAAUUAGCGGAUGACUUGUGGCUGGGGGUGAAAGGCCAAUCAAACCGGGAGAUAGCUGGUUCUCCCCGAAAGCUAUUUAGGUAGCGCCUCGUGAAUUCAUCUCCGGGGGUAGAGCACUGUUUCGGCAAGGGGGUCAUCCCGACUUACCAACCCGAUGCAAACUGCGAAUACCGGAGAAUGUUAUCACGGGAGACACACGGCGGGUGCUAACGUCCGUCGUGAAGAGGGAAACAACCCAGACCGCCAGCUAAGGUCCCAAAGUCAUGGUUAAGUGGGAAACGAUGUGGGAAGGCCCAGACAGCCAGGAUGUUGGCUUAGAAGCAGCCAUCAUUUAAAGAAAGCGUAAUAGCUCACUGGUCGAGUCGGCCUGCGCGGAAGAUGUAACGGGGCUAAACCAUGCACCGAAGCUGCGGCAGCGACGCUUAUGCGUUGUUGGGUAGGGGAGCGUUCUGUAAGCCUGUGAAGGUGUACUGUGAGGUAUGCUGGAGGUAUCAGAAGUGCGAAUGCUGACAUAAGUAACGAUAAAGCGGGUGAAAAGCCCGCUCGCCGGAAGACCAAGGGUUCCUGUCCAACGUUAAUCGGGGCAGGGUGAGUCGACCCCUAAGGCGAGGCCGAAAGGCGUAGUCGAUGGGAAACAGGUUAAUAUUCCUGUACUUGGUGUUACUGCGAAGGGGGGACGGAGAAGGCUAUGUUGGCCGGGCGACGGUUGUCCCGGUUUAAGCGUGUAGGCUGGUUUUCCAGGCAAAUCCGGAAAAUCAAGGCUGAGGCGUGAUGACGAGGCACUACGGUGCUGAAGCAACAAAUGCCCUGCUUCCAGGAAAAGCCUCUAAGCAUCAGGUAACAUCAAAUCGUACCCCAAACCGACACAGGUGGUCAGGUAGAGAAUACCAAGGCGCUUGAGAGAACUCGGGUGAAGGAACUAGGCAAAAUGGUGCCGUAACUUCGGGAGAAGGCACGCUGAUAUGUAGGUGAAGUGAUUUACUCAUGGAGCUGAAAUCAGUCGAAGAUACCAGCUGGCUGCAACUGUUUAUUAAAAACACAGCACUGUGCAAACACGAAAGUGGACGUAUACGGUGUGACGCCUGCCCGGUGCCGGAAGGUUAAUUGAUGGGGUCAGCGCAAGCGAAGCUCUUGAUCGAAGCCCCGGUAAACGGCGGCCGUAACUAUAACGGUCCUAAGGUAGCGAAAUUCCUUGUCGGGUAAGUUCCGACCUGCACGAAUGGCGUAAUGAUGGCCAGGCUGUCUCCACCCGAGACUCAGUGAAAUUGAACUCGCUGUGAAGAUGCAGUGUACCCGCGGCAAGACGGAAAGACCCCGUGAACCUUUACUAUAGCUUGACACUGAACAUUGAGCCUUGAUGUGUAGGAUAGGUGGGAGGCUUUGAAGUGUGGACGCCAGUCUGCAUGGAGCCGACCUUGAAAUACCACCCUUUAAUGUUUGAUGUUCUAACGUGGACCCGUAAUCCGGGUUGCGGACAGUGUCUGGUGGGUAGUUUGACUGGGGCGGUCUCCUCCUAAAGAGUAACGGAGGAGCACGAAGGUUGGCUAAUCCUGGUCGGACAUCAGGAGGUUAGUGCAAUGGCAUAAGCCAGCUUGACUGCGAGCGUGACGGCGCGAGCAGGUGCGAAAGCAGGUCAUAGUGAUCCGGUGGUUCUGAAUGGAAGGGCCAUCGCUCAACGGAUAAAAGGUACUCCGGGGAUAACAGGCUGAUACCGCCCAAGAGUUCAUAUCGACGGCGGUGUUUGGCACCUCGAUGUCGGCUCAUCACAUCCUGGGGCUGAAGUAGGUCCCAAGGGUAUGGCUGUUCGCCAUUUAAAGUGGUACGCGAGCUGGGUUUAGAACGUCGUGAGACAGUUCGGUCCCUAUCUGCCGUGGGCGCUGGAGAACUGAGGGGGGCUGCUCCUAGUACGAGAGGACCGGAGUGGACGCAUCACUGGUGUUCGGGUUGUCAUGCCAAUGGCACUGCCCGGUAGCUAAAUGCGGAAGAGAUAAGUGCUGAAAGCAUCUAAGCACGAAACUUGCCCCGAGAUGAGUUCUCCCUGAC